CUCUUUCUAAUAUUUAUAAUUCUUAUCUUUUUUCGCUCUAGUCCGGCAGGCUCUACACAUGUUGCUUUAAGGAAACAAUAAUAUAAUCUCACUUCGACUACUUAACAGAUUUGGUACCAUCCUUGUGAAUCUGCUCUCCGGAAUGCAAACUUCUCCAAGACAUGUUCCUGAGAUAAUAAUUGGAAAAGAUGUUACGGACUUGAUGGAUCCAAAUCUGAAGGGAGAUUUCUCUAAAGAAGAAGCUACCGUAAUCUCAAAAGUCGCCUCUGAAUGUUGCAACGCUUGAAGCUUUACAAGCUAAAACACAAGUUCCAGCUGCUGAAAUGGUUGAACUGGGAAAGCAGCAAGAUGUAGCAUCUUCCGGUCAACAACAAGAAGCUGAACCCUUGCAAGAAGUUCCAUCUUCUGAGACAAUAAAGCAGCAGAAGGAAGCAUCAUCUUCGAGUCAACAGCAACAAACUUGAACAAUGAAUCUUCUGAUAUCAUAAAAACUUUGUAACUCUUCUCAGAUUUGUAGCUUUGUUGGUUUUAGAUUGACGGUGUUUUGUGUAUUUUCUAACAACUUCAAACAUGUUUAUCUUGUUGCAUGCAAAAAUCAUGCAUAGUACAUCGAUAUUUUUGGGUCACAUAUACUCACACGAUGAA